rnacentral:rRNA from 1 species
UACGUAGGUGUCAAGCGUUGUCCGGAAUUAUUGGGCGUAAAGCGCGCGCAGGUGGUUUCUUAAGUCUGAUGUGAAAGCCCACGGCUCAACCGUGGAGGGUCAUUGGAAACUGGGGAACUUGAGUGCAGGAGAGAAGAGUGGAAUUCCACGUGUAGCGGUGAAAUGCGUAGAGAUGUGGAGGAACACCAGUGGCGAAGGCGACUCUUUGGCCUGUAACUGACACUGAGGCGCGAAAGCGUGGGGAGCAAACAGG